AUUGAACGCUGGCGGAAUGCUUUACACAUGCAAGUCGAGCGGCAGCGCGGGGGCAACCCUGGCGGCGAGCGGCGAACGGGUGAGUAAUGUAUCGGAACGUACCCAGUCGUGGGGGAUAACUAUCCGAAAGGAUAGCUAAUACCGCAUACGUCCUGCGGGAGAAAGCGGGGGAUAGCAAGACCUCGCGCGAUUGGAGCGGCCGAUAUCGGAUUAGCUAGUUGGUGGGGUUAAGGCCCACCAAGGCAACGAUCCGUGGCUGGUCUGAGAGGACGACCAGCCACACUGGGACUGAGACACGGCCCAGACUCCUACGGGAGGCAGCAGUGGGGAAUUUUGGACAAUGGGCGCAAGCCUGAUCCAGCAAUGCCGCGUGCAGGAAGAAGGCCUUCGGGUUGUAAACUGCUUUUGUACGGAACGAAACGGUCCGGGUUAAUACCCUGGGCUAAUGACGGUACCGUAAGAAUAAGCACCGGCUAACUACGUGCCAGCCGCCGCUGUAAAAC
rnacentral:rRNA from 1 species